ensembl:lncRNA
CAGAUACUUCACAGACACCCAUUUCUGUCUUGGUCAUGAACUCUGUGGAGCCAAUGCCUGAGAAAUGCUACGAAACUUAUGUGGCAUACAGAGGCAUCCUGCUGGGGGCGCUAAAGAGGCUCCAAUUCACCACUGAUUUUAAGUUCACCUUUAUGGAGUACCAGGACUACGGUGCUUAUCUCAACAGUGUGAAUAAUUUGUAUGAGGACAGAGAGAAGCACACGUACUGGCAGCUGGAGGUCCAAAAACCAGAUGGGAGUGUCAUUGUCCCGGAUGUAGGUAUUGGCUGUUACAUCCCAGAUACAAAUGAAG